UCGUGCGUUCACCCGCGCCUCGCCUGCAUGGGUGUGUUUCCGUUACGAGAGCAGCAGGAGCAGAAUAUUUGAAUUUUAACACCACAUCGAACGCAGACACUUCGAAAUUAAGACAUCGACGGCCUCCGCCCUCCGUCGUCCACGCAGCCACGAUCAAAAUUUUGCACCCCGUUCGCACACACCCCCCCCGAGGAGCGCCGACCUGCCGCGGUAGAUAUCGCCGGAAACCUCGACGUUACGACGACGUAGAGAAAAGCUCACGUGGUGGUGGUGGUGGUGGUUACGCAUAUGUCAGUAGUAACGGUGUUUCGUUGAAUAAAACAAGUGAGCGAUUUCGAGUGGGGAAAGGUGGUCGUCGUUUCGUCGACGUGGUGAAAUAUGCCAGGAAUUACUCGUUCGAAUGUACAUUAGGUGAAUUAACAUCGGAUGUUCGAGGCGGCGAAAUUUCUUAUUAGACUUCGUUAGAUAGUGAAAUUGUCCUCUGCUCCCACCCCGGCCUUUCGUUUACUCGGUGUGUGUUCGUGUUCUUCGUAUCAACCACGGUGCGCGCGUGUGUCCGAACGUAAAAAACUGAUGACUCUUGAUAAAGUUAUCCCCGUCGAGUGAGUCACUUUCUGAUGAUAGUCCUCCGUCAAAUUUUUCCGAACUCUGGUUUACGUUUCUCCCCUUAUCCCGUUUCUCUUUGAUCAACGCCGAUGGUGAAAUCCAAUCGAUCUUCGUCAUUGAAAGUUUGAAGCAUCCUCGAAACUGGCCCAGAAUGGAAAGAAGUUAUCUAGGUCUACCCAUUAGGUAUAAUAAUUGGGUUCGUGCCGUGUAAUGAAAUACGUGGUUUAAGCCUCGAGGAUAUAAGGGAGGAAAACCGAAGUACGUGGUGAGGUGAGGCAGGCGAGUACGGACCGAGACUAAUGUGAGGUAAAAUUGUGAUAAUUGAAGAUAAUUUAGUUCACCCAGGAGUAAUAUUAUUCAUGGUGGUUUACCUGAAACCUGUAAAACCAUCCAAGGACGAGACUACACGCAUACCUUACAGGGUAGCGAUCAAUUCCAAGGAAAACAGUUGUCGCUUGAAAUCUUUGAUGAAAAAAUUUGUAUCGCCUCUUCAUCCUUGUAGGCAAAAAAAUUAAAAAAACGAACCGGUCGAGAUUUGAUAAAUAAAAAUGAAAGAAGAAUAUACUUAUUCGAGUUAGCGGUGCCGGUGAUUAAUGACGUCAAAGAAAUUAAGUGGAUAUUAAUGUGAAAAGUUAUACGGCGUAGGGAAAAAAAAAAGAAAAAAAAAAAAAUAUCUGUAUCAAGUGAAGUUCUUCGCAAAGAAAAUCAUUAAUAACUGUUAAUCAAAUAUGAGAUGAUAUAUAUAUAUGCAUUCGCCAACUUUGGAUUUUAUAAAUGAGAUGAAAAAAUUUUGUCAAUGGUUUUCUGAAAUUCACGUAUUAUACGUAUAUCUGUUAUCGUCGUCUUCGGAAUGUUGUGUGAAUUACGAGAUUAACCGCUGAUAUAUAAAUGUUACGAUGAAUUUACUAGAAUAAUUUAAAGAUUAAAACUGAAGAAGAAAAGUUAUGUAUAAAAAAAAUUUGACAUUAAAUUAAUAAGAAAUCUACAGUACCUGAACUGUACCAGUUUCGGUCUCUACGAAUUAAAUCACUUGCUCAAAUCCUGAACGCGUAAAACCAUCUUAAAAUGUACUCGGCGACAUCGACUCCGUACGACGAAAUUAAACUGCACAGUGAAGUUAUACGUGUAAUUUGAGAUCGAUACAGGUAUACGGGUAGAUGAAACUAUCUCGUAUUUUGCCAGUGACGACGGUCUUUGAAUUUUUCUCGUAUCUUAGCGUCGUACCAGUUCAAUUAAUUGCGGCAAUCGAAUCCAUCGCAAAUAAGUUCGCUAGUCCGCCGCAACUUCCUCUUACUACUUCGGUUCGAAGCACGGGUGAAUUAUCCAACUUGAGUAAGACGUCCGCAGGAGAUACCUUGAAUCAACGCAGGUGAAAUUUAUUGCAACUUGACCAAAAUAAAGUACUUGGAAGUGGAAUUGACAAAAAAAAAAAAAAAAAAAAAAGAGAAAAGAAACAUGAUGAAUUGUGAUGGAAAGCUUUCGGACUAACAUAAACUUUAGUUGAAAAAAUUCUAUUUGCUUCGGGAAACAAUCCCACUGAAUUAAAAACGUGAUUGGAUACCCUGUAAUCAAUGUGACUGAAAUAACAAUCUUAUAGAACAUUAUUUGAGCGUUUCAAUACAUGUACAUUACGAGAAAAAAUAGUGGGAGAAAUCAAUUAGAAAAAUUUUCAGAAAAUCAGUGCAAUUCAAUCAAAGUCUUAAAGUCAAAGUAACAAAUAUAUAGGUAAUAUAAAUGAAUAAACUAAUAAAUUGUAGAAAGGAUUUUUUAACAAUUUACAAUGAUUAAUUUCCGAAACCAGUGAAAGUUAACACUCAAGUGAUUACUAGUCAUAAUUUUUACAAUCGUUUUAUUAUCAAAUUAUUGAUAAAUCUUCGAGUCGGUGAAUUCAGGUUGAACAUCAAUUACAACGGCUCUAAAUACCUACACUAUUCAACCAAAUCACCGUACAAUUGUUUAAUAAAUUAUUGUGAUAAAUUUUUGCGAAAUACACACUAGAAUACGUAUUUUAUAUGUGAAUAAAAGUGUUGCGUAAUUGUGUCCUGCGAUGUGACUGUCUAAUUCGUUUUAGCCAGAUAAAAGUGCGUCGUCGAUAUAAAGUAAAUGCCAUCUUUUGGUCGUGUUGAAAUUUUCCAUAAUCAUUUCGAAAGAAUUUCACUGAAUCAAAAUUUCGAGGAUAAUACAUAUAAUCCCGUGACACAUAAAUUCGCGUUCGUCGACUCUCGUCGAUUUUGGCUUUCGGAUGCGGAGGGAACACGAGAUAGUGAGACCUGAAAACAUUGAACGAGGGUACAUGCAUCCCUGUCGGUUAGUCAAAAAUUUAUCGGACACCAUUGAGCGUCUGCUACAAACCGUUGAAACGUUCGCGGCGUGCUAAGCGGAAAAAUAUCGUUCCAUGUGCGAUAAAAAAUUUAGAACAAGUGUAUCAUAAGUUGUCACGGUGUGCGGAUUGGGGCGAAUCCUCGGCUACAUCGGCGGCAGGCCGUCGGUGGGGGCCAACAUGUCGCAGUCGGGUUCGAACGGUUCAAACGGUCUGAACGGAGCGACCGAUUCGCAGAAUGUUCAAUCCCAAACUAAUCAAUCCAACCAAAAUGGUAAAACCGUGAACGGCCAGCAGCAGCAGCAGCAGCAGCAGCAGCAGCAGCAAUCGGAUCCGUCGCAAAAAAAAAAUGCACCCGAUUUAUCGAACGGUUUCGAAAAUCGGACCAUGGAAUACGAAAGGUACGCCCAGGAAAGGGCGCAGGAGAGAACGGUCAACCAUAUCACACACGCUGGCAUAACUUAUCAAAAUCAAUCGCAACCCCAAGCCAACGUUCAGUACAACUCGUCGGACAGUGUCCAGACUAUGCAACCGGUUCAAUUCGCCACCGGUGGAAGACUCACCUGCGCCAACACUCAACUCGACGAAAGACAUCCGAUUCCCGGACAGAUAGCGGGACAGUACGGACCGGAUAAGAUGCAAAACCUGGACAGAGUCCAGUACGUUUCUCAAAGUGGCACUCAAAUUAUUCCGGUUCAGGUUCAGCCACAGUUUACCAAUCAGGAGUACGCGGUUGAUCAGGGUCAAUUCGCCCAACUGAGAUCCCAGUUCGACGUAAGGUCGCAAGUCUAUCCCGUACAAGGUCAGUACUCGGACAGAGCGGGCUACGUGACGAGGGAUGUUACCUACCGAGAUCAAUCCGUUUACAGUCAGCCGAAUUCUAAUCCAAUUUUUACCGGACAGCCCCAGUACGUCACCGUUCAACCGCAGUCCUCCCAGUCAGCCAGCCCGCAACCCCCUUAUUAUACCGGGGUCGUGUUACCCUCCCAAACUUACGCCCAGUUUGGCUCACAGUCGCCGUUUCCUUACGGUCAAUAUCCCCAGACGGUAAUGAACCCUGGAACUGUACCGUACACUUCUCAUCCGGGGAAUAUUGUUAUUGGACACACUCAGCAGUUCGGUCAACAAUCGCCGAACCUUCAGGGGUUCUCCCAGGAACUUGGGCAGUAUCAAAAUCAACCGAUAAUUCAACCCAUAGCCCAGAACAUCGCUCAAGGUAUGAUGGUAGCCGGCAACGAGAGACCCACCCGCGGACCCAAGCCCAUGGUACCGCCGAGGGGAAAUUCAAAAAUCACCCACGACGCAACGGGUCAUAGGAAAUCGGCUAGUGUCGACGUGUCGGCGACGAUGCAAAAGCCUGGCUAUAAAUUAGACGGCAAUAGCGGAAACAUUCAAGAGAUGCAUCGCGCAGAGAUGGCCGGUAUCGGUGGCGCCCAAAGUUUGCCAGAAAAUCCGGAGCGCAGAUACUUGGCACCGAUUAAUCAGAAUCCUCGAACCAGGCAAGACGGACUGUACAUCGACGCUAACGGCGAUAACGUCGGUGCUGCUACUUCCGAAUCGAUCAGCUCCGAAUCCGCGCUUUACGUGUCAAGACCCGAACACCGGAAGUCCGCCUCGGUCGACGUGACCACGAGCUUUCAGAAGAGGAACGAUACCAUCACUUUCACGUUCCCGGGUGAUAACCAAGAGAUUUUAGUUCCUGGUAGGAAAAUGUCGAAUUCAGAAGUGAAGAGAACUCACGAGGCGAACACAUUCCCGUCCGUCGCAGUCGUCCAACCUCCAUUCGAUACCACCGCUCGUCAGGAGAAUCGCAAGAGCGUUAUCGGGGUAGAGAGAAAACCCGAGUGGUCGGGAACUCUGAGUCCUGGUCAAAGAUCGAUAUCGGCGCACGAGAAUCGACGCUCCGAUUAUUUCGAGGAUCAUAGAAGAUCCCCGUUAACGUUGGACCAGAAGCGUAUGGACGAGGUGAGGAAAUCCCCGAUGCCCUUCGUCCCGAUUCGCGACGCUUCCGCUGACCGGGCGAGCCAAAAAUCGCCGUCUUUCGUUAAUCAGGCGUUCGAAAAAACCAGACAGGAACUCGCCGUAUGGGCUGAACAAAGACAGCGCCAAGAACUCGAGAGGAGCGGAAAUCAACCGCAGAUUUUCUCCACCAGUCCGAGGUCCAGGAACCAAUCGGAGGACAGGAAGGACCCCAAGAUUCAGAUACAUCAAGUCGAGGAGAGACGCGAGCUGAGAAUGUCGCAGUCGGCGUUUCAACCGAUACCGAACAUCAGCCAGAACACGAUAAUGGAGCAACGACGACACCUGCGGCACGUAAGCGCCGACCUCACCAAGCACAUGGAACUUUCGCGAAAGGAUUUCGAAGAACAACCGUCCACCGGAUCUGUACUCAGUCUAGGACCGAAUAUGAACACCGUUGGAUCCCAGAGGACAAGCCCGAACUUAUUGAACCAGCAAUAUCCGGCUAUCAGCGAAGCUAAAAUAGACAUAAAAAGUACAUUGACGAUCACCACCGACUUUGGGGAUAAUUCGUUCAAACCGGCGGAUCAGGUGGAUCAUAUAAUUCACAGCCAUAAAAAGAGUCAUAAUUCGGGUGCUACUUUGUUGACCCAUAGCAAGAGUCAGGCCGAAAGUCUCCAGGCGCAAGGUCCGGAUGUACAAGUUGGGGAUGUCGUAUCGAACUCGCAAAUUCAGCAGCAAAUUCAAAUGCAAAAUCAACAGAGUUUGGAUCAGAUAUCGGAAAAAUUGUCACAGUUCGAACGACAGCAGAGCGAUCUGCAGACGAAACUUCAGUGUCUACAAAAUCAGAGUCAAAUUUUGGACAAGGUAUCGCAAUUUCAGCAUCAGCAGAACGAUUUACAAGCGAAAAUGCAGAGCCUCCAGAGUCAGAACCAGCCGCCCGAUAAGUUGAGUCAGAUACAGGGAAUGGCGGUGUAUAAAGUUCAAGGAAAUAACAAUGACAUUCAAAGUUUGAAGUCCCAGUCAUCGAAUAUACAAACAUCCGAACAAAUUACCGAAAAGUUAUCGCAGCUUCACAGACAGCAAAGUGAGAUUCAAAGUCACCAAACUAAUUUGCAUAAUCAGUUGCAGCAAACGCUUCAUCAGGGCUUUUUACCCGGUUCUUAUAAAAAUACAUUACAGAGCCAAUCGUGUCAGAUGAUCGAAAAGCUAUCUCCACGUUUGCAGCACGACGAUAAUUCUGAUCCGAAUCCGAUUCAAAUUCCGAGCAUGUCUCAAAUGCCUUUACCUAAUCUAUCGCAGUUCGAUCGAAACGAAAUUGGCCGCAGUUCACUGCAGUAUAGAUACGGUCAGUGUGACGCUGCGAUCGACGUCGGGUCCAGUGGAAGUUUUGUCAUUGGUAGUAGCGUUAGUUUUACGGGUACGCUCAAGAAAGUUCCACCGGAGAAACCGCCCCGCACAUCAUUGAUCGUCCAAUCGCCGGAGUCAGAGAGCAACAGAAGUCAACCGGCGAUCGGACUGAAGCAGACACCGAAAACAAGGCCAACGAUCUUCGGAACUGUGGCGUCAGAUUUGAACCCCAAGGAUGGCAACAGUCGAAGGAGCCUACCCCAGACGCCUGCCGGAUGUACCGGGGCGAAAGGACUCGUCGGUGGAAAUUCUGGGGGCGGUAACGUCGGUGCUAUUCCCAGCUCAGGUCUGGCGAAUGGGGCGAACGUUGAGCAUCAGGACCUGAGAGAUGUGGCGGCCAUCAACACCGAACACGCGUUGGUUUACCGGGAUGGAAAUCUGGUCUCGGGUUCCCUGGACGCGCUCGUUCAGCACAUGGUGCCCACCGAGGAGUAUUACCCGGACCGAGCUUACCUGUUCGCUUUCUUGUUGAGCGCUAGACUUUUUAUAAAACCCCACGAGCUCCUGGGCGAAGUGUGCGCCCUUUGCGAACUGCAGCAAAAUCUUACCGGCGAAGGUGGAAAGGAGAGACUUCAUCGUUUCGUUCCGAGGCUCGUUCAACUUUUGGCCGAAUGGACGGAAACGUUCCCUUACGAUUUUCGGGAUGAAAGAGUCAUGGGUCACGUGCGAGCCAUCACACAAAAGGUGGCUGCCGUUGACGCGGCCGCAAGACAAGAGGUAUCGGCGCUUCUGCAAAAUCUUUUGCUUCGCUUAACCGCCUUGGAGAGGUACGAGGAAGGACUCGCGAGAUUAGCCACCGAAGCUGCCGCCGAACAACUGACCCAGGUCGACGUAACUGAAUUGUGCCCAUCAGCUUCCGUUUUAGCCCAACAAUUGACGCACGUUGAAUUAGAGAGAUUAUCGUACAUCGGUCCAGAGGAGUUCGUCCAGGCAUUUGCGAAGGAAUCCCCGCACCUGGAAACUUCCUUCAAAGAUAUGAAGAAGACCAGGAACUUGGAAUCCUACGUACAGUGGUUCAACAGACUGAGUUAUUUCGUAGCCACUGAAGUGUGCAAGCACGCCAAAAAGAAACAACGCGUGAGGGUCGUCGAAUAUUGGAUAGAAACAGCGAGGGAAUGUUUCAACAUUGGAAAUUUCAAUUCUCUAAUGGCUAUCAUCGCUGGUCUGAAUAUGUCGCCGAUUUCCCGACUGAAGAAAACCUGGUCGAAGGUACAAUCGGCGAAGUUUUCCAUUUUGGAACACCAAAUGGACCCGAGCAGUAAUUUUAGUAGCUACAGAAGUACCCUAAAAGCAGCGAUGUGGCGCAGCGCUGGAGCAACCGACGAACGACAACGUAUCGUCGUACCGUUUUUCAGUUUGCUCGUGAAGGAUCUCUAUUUUCUCAACGAGGGUUGCAGUAACAAAUUGCCCAAUGGACACAUAAAUUUUGAGAAAUUCUGGCAGCUUGCUAAACAAGUUACCGAAUUUAUCGCUUGGAAACAAGUCGCCUGUCCGUUUGAGAAGAACGCCCGUGUCAUAGCGUUUCUUCAAGCAAGUCCCGUACUCACGGAAAACUCAUUAGCUUUAGCGUCUUUUGAAUGUGAACCACCCGAUAAUAACCCAGAAAAAGAACGGUAUAAGUCGUUGAAAUCCGAGUUGAACGCCCAGUGAAAUCAUGGUUUCAAAUACAUCGUAUGGAAAAGGUACUGAAUAUGAAUACGGAUAUUAUUUAACGUACUAUUAUGUACAAUUAACUUUAUUGAAUUUUGAAAUGCGAACGAUGCGAAUGAAGUGAUUCCAAAGUUGGACUUUAAACGUACAUAGACCUACCUAUAUAUUUAUAGUCAAAGUAGGUAGGUAUUACUGUGUUUAAUACCCAACAAUUAAUGGAAUGAUCCGCGUUUAUCCGUAAUCGCGGUGACGGUAAUAGAAAUUUCAGGUCGAUAGAACAUUAACGGAUGCAACAACUGAAAAAAAUUGAAACUAAAAAUUUACAACAAUACCUGUCUGAAAACCGGCUUACAUUGAAAAUCAAUUUAAGUAGGUGAAUUAUCUGUGAAAAACUUCCGUUAAUUACCGAUUGCAUUUUUGUUCUAACACAACGAAUUUUGGACAGAGUUCUACUGCAGCUCUCAAAUUUACAAUAUCUUUACUAUUCCAGAUAUUACUUUGUUUUCCGCAUCAUGCAGAAAUUAUGAAAACGAAGUUGUGACAAGGGUAUAUUUCAUAAUUUUUUGAAUACGGUAAUAGUUUUGAAAUUAAAUCAUUCACUAUGAAAUUCAAUUCCAUCUACAGUAUCGUAUAGAAGUAAGAAUAGUUCCUAAGCCUCAUCAAACCUCAUGCGUUAAAGACUCUAAAAUAUAAGCUCGAUUCAUUCGACGAUUGAACUGAAAGACUAAAAUUAGAGGCGAAAUAAUGAUACAAUAAGCGAUAUGAUUUUACAAUCGAAACUUGACUUGAGAAAAUUCAUACCUAAAAUUUCACGCAUUUUCUUUUUUCUUACUAAACAGGAGCACCUUAUCAUAUUCGUGUAUACACUCUGUCAUUGAGUUUUUAUUUCCUUCCCAUAUUAAUUUAUCGGGUACCAAGCAUGACGCGAUAUUUUUAUACUGACAAUGAAUUUCAUUUUACUGCUACCUGUCGACGCGGAAAAUUUCAUUCUCUCGAUUUUUCAUCGCGUUAUUUUGGACUUUUUAGGGCACGAGGUAUGUAACUUGUAAAUAGCCCUUUUGAUAUAUGCUAAAUUAGGUGUGUGUAGGUUUGUUCCUGUAGUCUAAGUUCGAUUUAGGAAAAAAAUAAAGUAACUCGGUUCACGUACUUAAACGGAAUAAGUUUCUAGAUGAAAUAAAAAUUCAAACAGAAUCACCCAAAAUACUUAUCAAAUUACAUCACAUUCACUACGUGUAUUCUACUGUUGUCAAAUAAAAAAAAAAAAGAAGGAAUCCUAUGCAAUCAAAAUAAUCCGAAUAACAAACACUCUACCUGCGCAGUCCGACGAAUCCAAAUAAUAACUGCAUUUUGUACAUUAUUAUAACGAUUUAUAACUCGAUUAAGUUAUCCGGUGUAAUGUAUAUUACGUAAUUUGAAACAACUGUCUCAUAUUUCGCCAAAAUAUGAUGUUAGGUUUGAAGCACAAUUAUUAAUACAAGUUACAACAAUUUUAAAGUUUAAAAAUGUACAUGCGUAUACUUUAUCAAAUUUUCUGAUGAAUUUGAAAGUAUAGGGACCAAGUUAAUUUCUCCUAAAUAUAAAAAUCGCGAAAUUCCCAUGUUAUGAUAUACAUUAUAUUAUGAUUCUUCAAUCUUUUAUAUUCUUUAAUUGCAUUUAUCAAUUUUAUUCGAUAACAAUUGGGAUUAUUUUGAGUGACAGCUAAUAGAUAAUAUAGGGGAAGAAAAAUAAUGAUAAUAAAAUUGUCCUGCAUCCUAAAUCAAUCAAAUGCCUUAAAUAUGAACAUUGAUAUUUUGAGUCCGUCAUUCUUCUGCUGUGUGCGAUUAGUUUAAUGCGUUUCAAUCGGUAUUCGAAUUCAUCAAUCCUAACUCUCGUCAGUUCGUGUGUAAGGCAUUUGAAACAAUAGAGUAUAUAUUGAAGUUAUGCGGCUACUAUUAUGCACGGUAUCAUAAAGUAUUGAAAAUAAAUAUACGUAUAGAUAGAAUUCCACAAUCAAAUUGUCAAUAUUCAUAACUACAAUUAGUAACUCUGAACCUAAUAUUUCCUUCGUUAUAGCAAAACGAAUGUAUUGUUCAUCCAUUUCGGCGUAGCACAUUUGCGUAAUACACAUUUCAUAUUGUUCACUCGCUCUCAAAUUAAAACAUCCUUUUUUUCGGGGUGACAAUCUAUCACAUUGGUGAAAAACUAUGGAAAAUACCUUCAUUAACCAUGUAUGUUACACCGUAAAAGAAGGGAAAUUCAAAAGUAAAUUUUUUGCUUUGAUUUUAUUCAUGAUAGAUAUAAAAAAUGCUAUCACCUAAGCACUAUGACAUCUAGAUAUAUAAUUAUCACCUGUAAAUAAAUAAAAAACUGUCGUGUAUAUAUUCGUUGUCUAGAUAUAAAAGUUAGUUAAUAGUUUAUACUAUAGUCGCGUAAUUUUUCGAGUGAUUGUCGAGAUUUACCGAAGUUCUCGCCUGAUAAACUCGUCGAGGAUUAUGUUAUCAUAAUACGUAUUAACUAUCCAGAUCGUUGUAAUUACGACAGGUCACAUAACGUUUGCUUUGCUCUAGUCAAUAGCUAUUAGUUGAAGUAUUUGAAUUAAGAGCACUAAAAGAAAUUCUGGAUAUUGACGACAGAUAGAUUGAUCGAACAGAUCUUAUUAUAUACGGUGCAUUAAUUAACGAUUACUCUCACUCGUGCAUGAUGAAUUUAUAAUCCAUCUAUAGUUGGUAUUCAGAAUUUUUUUUUUAAAUACAUUUUAUAUUUUUAUGUAUAUUAAAUUAUAGUUACGCCUAAUUAGAUUAAGAUUGAUUUAUAUUUACUUUUGUAGGUUUCUUCUGUACCAUGUACUUUGCUUAACAUUCCCACAGAUAAUAAUUAAGGUCUAGCCGCGUGCAUUCGCAUAGGUACCACAUUUUUUUUUUUUUCUUAUCCGAGAGCACUGAUAGUGCCAGAAUUAUUUGUAUAAUACCGAAUUACUUUAAAAAAAACUCAUACAAAUAAUAAUAAUAAUUUUUCUCGUUUAUUCUAUAAACUGUAUUAAAGUCCACAACACAAUCAUAAAAUCCUGCGUACCAUUCAUUUAUCUUGUUUACUCAUUUUCAGCCAUUUUGUACAAACCGCAUAAUUACACCAUUCAUAUAUUGAACAAAUGAGGAAAAUGUGAGUAUUCCGCGUUUAUUUGUUACAUAGCAGUCUUGACAGUGACGAUUCAUCGGAAACGAUUAUGGAAAAAGUGCGUUACUCGUGCUAAAGAAUCGCCGAUGACCACAGCUGGAUUAAAGUAACCAAAACUGGUAAAUCUACCCCAUGCCCAGUUCGUCAUGAAGCUCGCAUGGCUCUACCGACUCGAGAGAUCAACCUCAUGUGAAUAAUCAUCGCUAUCCAGAACAAAUUCAUACUUGACAGAGGUCGAAGAUGCCUAGUUCUUCGCGAUACAGUUCAACUUUCAACUACUAUCCCUACGUUGUGCUGAAAAAUUCGUGUAAGGCUUUCAAUCAGUCAUCACUGUGCCUAGUGCAUCGCAGUACUCAUUCAACUCCCAACCACGAAGGGCAGGAGUUAUAUGGCAUCGCACAAUUCGUUUGCAGAUCCAUCUCUACCGGAACAGGAUGGAGAGGAGUCGAUCUUUGGAGAGACUCGUUCAUGUCCUGAUUUGCUUGCAUCGCGCAAUGGGCAUCUACCAGAAAGAAAAAAAAAUAUCACAUGUACAAUUCAAGUCAUGAUAUAACAACUGCUUAUAUUUGUACUCUAUUUGUAUCCACGAAAAAAAUCAAUAAAUCAUUCCGUAUCUCAUUGAGAAAAGAAA